rnacentral:rRNA from 1 species
AACGAACGCUGGCGGCAUGCCUAACACAUGCAAGUCGAACGAGACCUUCGGGUCUAGUGGCGCACGGGUGCGUAACGCGUGGGAAUCUACCCUCAGGUUCGGAAUAACUCAGAGAAAUUUGAGCUAAUACCGGAUGAUGACGUAAGUCCAAAGAUUUAUCGCCUGAGGAUGAGCCCGCGUAGGAUUAGGUAGUUGGUGAGGUAAAGGCUCACCAAGCCGACGAUCCUUAGCUGGUCUGAGAGGAUGAUCAGCCACACUGAGACUGAGACACGGCCCAGACUCCUACGGGAGGCAGCAGUGGGGAAUAUUGGACAAUGGGCGAAAGCCUGAUCCAGCAAUGCCGCGUGAGUGAUGAAGGCCUUAGGGUUGUAAAGCUCUUUUACCCGGGAUGAUAAUGACAGUACCGGGAGAAUAAGCUCCGGCUAACUCCGUG